rnacentral:rRNA from 1 species
GGGGAAUAUUGGACAAUGGGCGAAAGCUUGAUCCAGCCUUGCGGCGUUUGUGAAGAAGGUUUUGGGAUUGUAAAGCACUUCAAGUUGGGAGAAAGGGCUGCAAGUUAUUACCUUGUAGUUUUGAUGUUACCUGCAGAAUAAGCACCGCCUAACUUCGUGCCAGCAGCCGCGGUAAUACGAAGGGUGCAAGCGUUAAUCGGAAUUACUGGGCGUAAAGCGCGCGUAGGUGGUUUGGUAAGAUGGAUGUGAAAUCCCCGGGCUCAACCUGGGAACUGCAUCCAUAACUGCCUGACUAGAGUACGGUAGAGGGUGGUGGAAUUUCCUGUGUAGCGGUGAAAUGCGUAGAUAUAGGAAGGAACACCACUGGCGAAGGCGACCACCUGGACUGAUACUGACACUGAGGUGCGAAAGCGUGGGGAGCAAACA